rnacentral:rRNA from 1 species
UACGGAGGGUGCAAGCGUUAAUCGGAAUUACUGGGCGUAAAGCGCGCGCAGGCGGUUCGUUGUGUCGGCGGUGAAAGCCCCGGGCUUAACCUGGGAAUGGCCGUUGAAACUGGCGAACUGGAGUGUGGCAGAGGGGGGUGGAAUUCCGCGUGUAGCAGUGAAAUGCGUAGAGGUGCGGAGGAACACCGAUGGCGAAGGCAGCCCCCUGGGCUAACACUGACGCUCAGGCACGAAAGCGUGGGGAGCAAACAGG